UACGUAGGGUGCAAGCGUUAAUCGGAAUUACUGGGCGUAAAGCGUGCGCAGGCGGUUUUGUAAGUCUGUCGUGAAAGCCCCGGGCUCAACCUGGGAAUUGCGAUGGAGACUGCAAGGCUUGAAUCUGGCAGAGGGGGGUAGAAUUCCACGUGUAGCAGUGAAAUGCGUAGAGAUGCGGAGGAACACCGAUGGCGAAGGCAGCCCCCUGGGCCAACACUGACGCUCAGGCACGAAAGCGUGGGGAGCAAACAGG
rnacentral:rRNA from 1 species